UGUGCAGAGGGGAGUAGCAGGUUAUGCGUCUCCGUGAGAGACUAUUACUGUUACAUGCUGCAAAUACGGCCUGCGAUCUUCAAUCCCAUACUAUGUGGAGCAUGCCUGCUCCAGCAAUGGGGGGUCGACAUGUACAUCAAGAUUGAGAGUUGUCGAUUGAGGUGGUACAGGAGGAACAAGAUGCAGAUUCGUGCCGAUUUGUAUAAAGGAGUUGUUGAUGCGAUCACAUCGGGGAAGACGUGAGCAAACGUUGUUGGUGUAAGAAUAGUGCUCCCUAGAACAUACCCUGGUGGGGACCGCAACAUGAAGAAGAGGCAUAUGGAUGCCAUGGCAAUUGUCCAUACAUACGAAAAGCCUGACAUCUUCUUGACCAUGACUUGCAACCCUAAAUGGGAAGAGAUAACGAAUGAGUUGCUUCCUGGUCAGACCUGA
rnacentral:rRNA from 1 species